rnacentral:rRNA from 1 species
CCCUCACCGGAUUACCAAACCUAACCAAACUCCGAAUACCCAGAAGUACUACUCGGGAGACAGACGGUGGGUGCUAACGUCCAUCGUCAAGAGGGAAACAACCCUGACCUACAGCUAAGGUCCCUAAGUCAUGGUUAAGUUGGAAAGCAUGUGGGAAUGCUUAGACAACCAGGAGGUUGGCUUAGAAGCAGCCAUCCUUUAAAGAUAGCGUAACAGCUCACUGGUCAAGCGUUCCUGCGGCGAAGAUGUACGGGGAUUAAACCAUGCACCGAAGCUUAGGGUGUGCAGUAAUGCACGCGGUAGCGGAGCGUUCCGUAAGCCGAUGAAGCCGUACCUGUGAGGGGCGGUGGAGGUAUCGGAAGUGCGAAUGAUGACACGAGUAACGACAAACAGUGUGAGAGACACUGUCGCCGAAAGUCCAAGGGUUCCUGCGCAAUGCUAAUCAGCGCAGGGUUAGCCGGCCCCUAAGUCGAGGCGGAAACGCGUAGACGAUGGGAACCACGUUAAUAUUCGUGGGCCUGGUGGAAGUGACGGAUCGCGCAGAGCUGUAUCCCCUUAUUGGAUUGGGGGUGCAUCGAGCCGGUUCCAGGAAAUAGCUCCACCUUAUAGACCGUACCCGAAACCGACACAGGUGGACUGGUAGAGCAUACCAAGGCGCUUGAGAGAACGAUGCUGAAGGAACUCGGCAAAUUGCACGCGUAACUUCGGGAUAAGCGUGACUUCGUUCCGGGCAACCGGUUCGGAGUGGCACAGAAUUGGGGGUAGCGACUGUGUACUAAAAACACAGGGCUCUGCGAAGCCGCAAGGCGACGUAUAGGGCCUGACGCCUGCCCGGUGCCGGAAGGUUAAAUGGAGGGGUGCAAGCUCUGAAAUGAAGCCCCGGUAAACGGCGGCCGUAACAAUAACGGUCCUAAGGUAGCGAAAUUCCUUGUCGGGUAAGUUCCGACCUGCACGAAUGGCGUAACGACUUCCCCACUGUCUCCAGCAUCGACUCAGUGAAACUGAAUUCCUCGUGAAGAUGCGAGGUUCCUGCGGUUAGACGGAAAGACCCCAUGCACCUUUACUAUAGCUUUGCGUUGGCAUUCGUGUCGGGAUGUGUAGGAUAGGUGGUAGGCUAUGAAGUCAGGACGCCAGUUCUGAUGGAGCCGCAAGAUGAAAUACCACCCUUUUUGACAUGAGCGUCUAACCGCGGCAUAACAGUGCCCGGAACAGCGCAUGGUGGGUAGUUUGACUGGGGCGGUCGCCUCCCAAAGAGUAACGGAGGCGCGCGAUGGUUGGCUCAGUG